CAGGCUGAAAUGGGUGAAGCACCUUUUCCCUCCAGCUGUGGGGUGCCUGAACUCCGCUUCUUCCAUUCCCUCCUUGCCUUCUGGUGUGCAUUUGUGGGCAGUGGCUCUGCCGUGACAGUGACCCAGACUCCACCCUAUGUCAAAGAGUUGCCGGGGAUAGAUGUUUCUUUCAACUGUUCUGUUGCUGAUAACAGAAACUAUAAUUUCUACUGGUAUCGCCAAGUGCCUGGAAAAACAGAGCUAGAAGCCCUUGGGUACCUCACCUAUUUCGGUACAAACCUUGAAGACAGCCCAGAGAAGUGGACAAAGCGGCUGAAAGCAAAGUGGGAAGCAGGAAAGAAGAAAAUGAAUUUGGAUCUGACAGAUCUUCAGCCUGGUGACACGGGCUUCUAUCUCUGUGCUGCAAAGGACACGGUGAAUGAGGGAAGAACUGGGACUGAUAUUUGA